GACGAACGCUGGCGGCGUGCCUAACACAUGCAAGUCGAACGGGGUAAUCCUUCGGGGUUACUUAGUGGCGAACGGGUGAGUAACGCGUGAGAAACCUGCCUUUCAGUGGGGGACAACAGUUGGAAACGACUGCUAAUACCGCAUAAUGUUAUUUGGGGGCAUCCCUGAGUAACCAAAGAUUUAUUGCUGAAAGAUGGUCUCGCGUCUGAUUAGCUAGUUGGUGAGGUAACGGCUCACCAAGGCGACGAUCAGUAGCCGGUCUGAGAGGAUGAACGGCCACAUUGGGACUGAGAUACGGCCCAGACUCCUACGGGAGGCAGCAGUGGGGAAUAUUGGGCAAUGGGCGAAAGCCUGAUGCAGCAACGCCGCGUGAGCGAUGAAGGCCUUGGUCGUAAAGCUCUGUCCUCAAGGAAGAUAAUGACGGUACUUGAGGAGGAAGCCCCGGCUAACUACGUG
rnacentral:rRNA from 1 species